rnacentral:lncRNA from 1 species
GUCGUUCCUUAUGGCCAUCUGCCUGCGGAGCAGCCUCUCUGCAGAAGGGGAGUGCACGGGGGCGGCCGCCGGGGCUUUGCUCUCCCUGACCAAUGGGUCGUGAGCUCUCAUGUGGUGGAAAUGGUCUUUUGGAAUUUGCAGGAGAGAGCUGGUGUCUGCUGGCUGCGACUGCACCGAUGCCUUUGAACCUGAGUGCACUUUGUGCUGGGCCGGGUUCCCAUCGCG